GGGAUGAGGGUGGGAAAGGGCCCUGGAGCGCAGGACUGGGAAGGGAGCUGGGAGAGGUGGGAGGAGACUGACAGAUGAAUUUACUCUUCCGGGACUUAACCACAGAACUGGCCUUAUUUCAGCAACUGCAGGCACUGUUUUUCGGCAGGCUGGGGACCAUUGCUCUCAUCCUGAAAAGCAAACUACAGCCAGCAGAGGUCCAGCCAGGCUGUGUGCAGCUGACAGUGAGGCCACAGAACAGUUAAACUUCAGCACGCAAAUGAAUUUUAUCAAGACCUCUCCACGUGUCAUCCCAGCUAUGCUUAUAACCACAUUAGAAAAGUAGGAUUUUAUGAAUAUUACCAGGGAGAGCUGUUUGUCAGAAAGAUUUAUGCUGCUUUGAGACAAACAACAAAGAAGAAACAGGGUAAGACAUUUAAUUCAAGCAUUUACAUCGAAACUAUUUAAAAACAUAUUGUCUAAU
rnacentral:lncRNA from 1 species